UCCGACUUGUCGUCGGCAGUCACCUGUGAGUGCCCAACUAAAUGCUGGCAACACAGAUCAAGGGUUGCGCUCGUUGCGGGACUUAACCCAACAUCUCACGACACGAGCUGACGACAACCAUGCACCACCUGUCACCGCUGCCCCGAAGGGAAGGCACAUCUCUGCGCCGGUCAGCGGGAUGUCAAGACCUGGUAAGGUUCUUCGCGUUGCUUCGAAUUAAACCACAUGCUCCACUGCUUGUGCGGGCCCCCGUCAAUUCCUUUGAGUUUCAGUCUUGCGACCGUACUCCCCAGGCGGAGUGCUUAAUGCGUUAGCUUCGGCACUAGGGGUGGUACCCCCUAACACCUAGCACUCAUCGUUUACGGCGUGGACUAC
rnacentral:misc_RNA from 1 species